CCCGCGGCCGAGCGCUCGGCGUCGGGGACACGGUGCGGUCUCGUCUGACUUGACUCACCGCGGACUAUGGUAAAAUCUCCGCGGGCAGAGAUUCUGGGAAUCAUUUUCAAUAAUUUUUGCACACGCUCCCCAAGAGGAACUUUUAAAAACACGUGUACUUCGGUGGCCCCUGGGAUUUGUUGCACAGUGACUAAGGCAGCGGACUCUAGGGCUGUGUCCUCAGACCAGCAGCUCCGACCUCACCUGUGAACCUGCAGAAGCGGAAAUUCACAGGGGCCGCCCCCGGAGUCCGAAACUGGGGCUGGGGCCCAGCAGUCUGCGCCUUCCUGCGUCCAGGUGGUUGUGAUGCCGGCUCAGGCUUGAGACCAGAGCCUCUCCUGGAUUCCCUUCCUGGGCUCACCACUAACUUCUUGGGCUGAGAGAGUUAUUUAAAUAAGUUAGUGCUUUCGCAUCUGCAAAAUGGCAUAAUUAUGGCACCCUUUUCAUGGAGUCCUUAUGGGGAUUAGAGCUAGCUUAACAAAGCGGUUAAUGUGCUAUAAAUACCCAGCAUGAUGGAGGUGAUUUUAGCAUCUUCUUGGAAUGUUGUCUACUCAAACUGUGAGCUCCUUGAAGCCUACAGAUACUCAUCAAGCACCCCGUUCCUGCCAGACACAGCUUCCACGUGGUCUGUUUUUCAGUUCAGCACUGACACAGCAGCUAGAGCUAUGGCUUGGAUCAUGUCACACUCCUGCUCCCAGACCUUCAGGGCUCCAGCUCAAGGCAGGAAGAACUGGGACCUGGAAUGAAGCCAGCUGUGGGGCCAGAGAGGCUGGCUCAGCUGGGCAGAGGACACAGCCAGGCAGCUCCGUGGGACUGAUCAUAGGUGGAAGGUCUUGGAAGGAGUCACCACACUCAGGGAAGAUUCAAGACCUAGAGGUCAGAGGGAGGACUCAGUCCCCAGGGAGGGGCCCGCAAAUGAAUGGAGGGCCCUGCCCAGAAGACCUGACUCCUAGCCUGAGCAGGGCAAGUUGACCGGGAGCAGGGCAGGGCGGGGUCCUUAUGUAAGCAAGCAGAAAAGGGGGUGCACCAGGGCUGGCUUGCUGUCGUGUCCAGCAGAGUAAAUGUGCUUAGGGGCAAGAGGGGUCCUGAGCCCAGAAGAGACACCUUGGACCUCUUCUGAAGGGGGCCCCCGGGCAAGGCUGGGGGCAGACGGCCUGACAAUCUCUGCAGCCCUUGCCGCACCUACACAGGGCCUUUACCCCGCCCAAGGCUGGCCGGAGGCUCCUCUGUGCCCCGGGCUGCUGCCUUUCCAGGGCCUGGGCGUGCUCCUCAGCCCGUCUGCCCCACCUCUUCACUGCCUGAAGCCUACUUAACCUUCAAGACUAAGUGCAAAGGCAGCAUGCUUUUUUCUCUUCCCCUUUCUAGGCCUUCCCAGUCUGCUUUUCUAUACAGCAGACUAAGUCUUGUGAUACUUGCUGCAUGCCUCUAUUAAAACACUUCGUUUU